rnacentral:siRNA from 1 species
UCAGUUUCGGAUCACGGCCAGC